rnacentral:rRNA from 1 species
UACGUAGGGGGCAAGCGUUGUCCGGAUUUAUUGGGCGUAAAGAGCGUGUAGGCGGCUAGGUAGGUCCGUUGUGAAAACUCGAGGCUCAACCUCGAGACGUCGAUGGAAACCAUCUAGCUAGAGUCCGGAAGAGGAGAGUGGAAUUCCUGGUGUAGCGGUGAAAUGCGCAGAUAUCAGGAAGAACACCGGUGGCGAAGGCGGCAUCCUGGACCGGUAUUGACGCUGAGGCGCGAAAGCCAGGGGAGCAAACGGG